rnacentral:rRNA from 1 species
GAGUUUGAUCUUGGCUCAGAGCGAACGCUGGCGGCGUGCUUAACACAUGCAAGUCGAGGGAGAACGGAGGGCUUCGGCCUUCUUAGUAAACCGGCGCACGGGUGAGUAACACGCAGGUAACCUACCUCCGAGUUCGGGAUAACCUGUCGAAAGAUAGGCUAAUACCGGAUAAGACCACGAUGGCUUCGGCCACUGCGGUCAAAGAUGGCCUCUAUUUAUACGCUAUCGCUUGGGGAUGGGCCUGCGCACCAUUAGCUAGUUGGUGAGGUAAUGGCUCACCAAGGCUACGAUGGUUAGUUGGUCUGAGAGGAUGACCAGCCACACUGGGACUGAGACACGACCCAGACUCCUACGGGAGGCAGCAGUGGGGAAUAUUGCGCAAUGGGGGAAACCCUGACGCAGCGACGCCGCGUGGGUGAUGAAGGCCUU